CAGCAGCCACGGUAAUACGUAGGGUGCGAGCGUUAAUCGGAAUUACUGGGCGUAAAGCGUGCGCAGGCGGUUGUGUAAGACAGGUGUGAAAUCCCCGGGCUUAACCUGGGAACUGCGCUUGUGACUGCACAGCUAGAGUAUGGCAGAGGGGGGUGGAAUUCCACGUGUAGCAGUGAAAUGCGUAGAGAUGUGGAGAAACACCGAUGGCGAAGGCAGCCCCCUGGGCCAAUACUGACGCUCAUGCACGAAAGCGUGGGGAGCAAACAGGAUUAGAUACCCGGGUAGUCCCUGUCUCUUAUAC
rnacentral:rRNA from 1 species